CUACGGGACGCUCCAGUGGGGAAUCUUAGACAAUGGGGGAAACCCUGAUCUAGCCAUGCCGCGUGAGCGACGACGGCCCUAGGGUUGUAAAGCUCUUUCAGCAGGGAAGAUAAUGACGGUACCUGCAGAAGAAGUCCCGGCUAACUCCGUGCCAGCAGCCGCGGUAAUACGGAGGGGACUAGCGUUGUUCGGAAUUACUGGGCGUAAAGCGCGCGUAGGCGGAUUGUUAAGUCGGGGGUGAAAUCCCGGGGCUCAACCCCGGAACUGCCCUCGAUACUGGCAGUCUUGAGUUCGAGAGAGGUGAGUGGAAUUCCGAGUGUAGAGGUGAAAUUCGUAGAUAUUCGGAGGAACACCAGUGGCGGAGGCGGCUCACUGGCUCGAUACUGACGCUGAGGUGCGAAAGCGUGGGGAGCAAACAGGAUUAGAUACCCCUGUAGUC
rnacentral:rRNA from 1 species